rnacentral:misc_RNA from 1 species
GAUGAAGAACGCAGCGAAAUGCGAUAAGUAAUGUGAAUUGCAGAAUUCAGUGAAUCAUCGAAUCUUUGAACGCACCUUGCGCUCCUUGGUAUUCCGAGGAGCAUGCCUGUUUGAGUGUCAUUAAAUUCUCAACCAUUAUCAACUUUUGCUGAUAAUGGCUUGGAUGUGGGGGUCUAUUUUGCUGGCUUCUCAGAUAGUCAGCUCCCCUUAAAUGCAUUAGCCGGUGCCCCGCGUGGACUGUCUAUUGGUGUGAUAAUUAUCUACGCUAUAGACAUCUGCAAUCAUUUGGGUUUGCGCUGCUUCUAACAGUCUGUUGAUUCAGACAAUACAUGACAAUUUGACCUCAAAUCAGGUAGGACUACCCGCUGAACUUAAGCAUAUCAAUAAGCGGAGGA